rnacentral:rRNA from 1 species
CGCCUCUUGACUUAUAAUAAGAGGUCCAGCCUGCCCAGUGAAUUUUAAACGGCCGCGGUAUCCUAACCGCGCGAAGGUAGCAUAAUCACUUGUUCUUUAAAUGGGGACUCGUAUCAACGGCAUCACGAGGGUUUUACUGUCUCCUCUUUUUGAUCAGUGAAAUUGAUCUUCCCGUGAAGAAGCGGGAAUAUUUUUAUAAGACGAGAAGACCCCAUGGAGCUUUAAACCAAAUAACAACUUAACUACUUAUCCCACAAUAAAUUUAAGCCCUGUUAUAAGGUUUUUGGUUGGGGUGACCGCGGAGUAAAGCACAUCCUCCACGACGGAAAGAACAUAAUCUUUAUUUAAGAACCACACUUCUAGAAAUUAGUAUACUAACGUUUACUGACCCGACAAUCGAUCAACGGACCAAGUUACCCUGGGGAUAACAGCGCAAUCUACUUCAAGAGCUCAUAUCGACAAGUAGGCUUACGACCUCGAUGUUGGAUCAGGGUAUCCCGGUGGUGCAGCCGCUACCGAAGGUUCGUUUGUUCAACGAUUAAAACCCU